GAUCAUGGCUCAGGAUGAACGCUAGCGGCAGGCCUAACACAUGCAAGUCGAGGGGCAGCAUAAAACAAGCUUGCUUGUUUGGUGGCGACCGGCGCACGGGUGCGUAACGCGUAUGCAACCUACCUUAUACUGGGGUAUAGCCCGGAGAAAUUCGGAUUAAUCCCCCAUAGUAUUAUAUAAUGGCAUCAUUUAAUAAUUAAAGUACCAACGGUAUAAGAUGGGCAUGCGUCCUAUUAGCUAGAUGGUGAGGUAACGGCUCACCAUGGCAACGAUAGGUAGGGGGCCUGAGAGGGUAGUCCCCCACACUGGUACUGAGACACGGACCAGACUCCUACGGGAGGCAGCAGUGAGGAAUAUUGGUCAAUGGGCGCAAGCCUGAACCAGCCAUGCCGCGUGAAGGAAGAAGGUUCUAUGGAUUGUAAACUUCUUUUAUUUAGGAAUAAACCUCCCGACGUGUCGGGAGCUGAAGGUACUAAAUGAAUAAGCACCGGCUAACUCCGUG
rnacentral:rRNA from 1 species